rnacentral:lncRNA from 1 species
AUCCAGGCCUCAGGUGACUCUCCCAUCUCGUGAAAACAAGCAGGAAGCCCACGUUAUUAUUUUCUUCUUUACUCAAAACAUCGAGAAAAAAGAAAUCCUUCUUUUCCCUUUUUAGUCUUGAACCACAUUCACAUCCCUGCCUCCCUUGGAGACUUUUCUUCAGCUGCAAUUUACAAAUGUGAAAAGCUCCCCUCCAACCCCGAUCCGAGACAGACUUUAUUUAGGAAUAAGAAGGAAGGAGGGCCCUGCUGUGUCCUCCUUUUGUCUCGGUCUUCUUUCCUCUCACUCGGGUGACACAGAAAGAGAAGGAAAAUUACGCAUCAUCGAGGAAGGCCCUGAAUGUAAGACAAAACAAACAUACUACAACCAAAACUGGGGUCCCUAAAGCUCCCUCCUCCCUGGCAGAACAUCACAGAGGUCUCAGAGGCUGCUUUGAGGCUUUUGCAGAGGCUGGAAGACAACCCUUUGGAGUUCAGCACACAGGGCCUCUCCCAUCAUUCAUGCUCAUUCUUGGAACAGAGGAGGACUGCAGAUGGCAUUUCGUGGUUUUAAGGAUACUUUGGGGAACCAUUUGGAAAAUAAAUUAAGCAUCGCAAUGGGAAAAAUCACUCCAGAAUCAAUUCGGAUUUGGACCUUCCUAGAAUGGACUUCUGAAAGGAGGACCUGAAGAUUCUUUCUAAGAGGACAAAGCUGCUGUUUGUGAAGAGAGAAAACUUUAGGAAACUUCCAGGGGAGCCAGGUAGGAAGCAAGUCAUGGCUUCUGGGCCCGGGGAGGAGAAAGCAGACUGAGUCAUUGUCCUCCAGGAAGAUGUAAACCUGCACACACUGAUCCCUGCAUGUAGGGAUGGAGAGCAAUGUUAACGGCCAACUUAGCGACUGUUAGCACACCUUCUGUGAAUUAACCCAUUUAAUACCCACAGCAACCUAUAAGACAGGCCUGGGGUCAUGGUACAAAGGGAGACCCUUACCCCUUUUUCAUCCUUACUCUGUCUCUAUCACGAGGGGGCAGACACUCAAUGCAUGGACUGUCUAGUCACAAGUUGAAGCUCAGUCCAGAAACCUGUCACAAUCAGGAGCCCCUUGGACAC